AAACAUUCGAUUCAGAAAUCGAACAUUAAUCCAGGUGAGAUUUCAGUGCGUUUGCCAGCGGGAUGUUUGGUGUUUAGCGCAGUCAUCUCGGGAGAAAGCGCCGAAUAUACCCAGCCAAACAUCGAUGUUCAAAUGUGUCCGUGACACACGCUUGCCUUCUGAAUAUCCCGCUAGCAAACCAAUCGUUUCAGAGACUUUCGCUCGCAAAUAUUUAACGUCAUUGCGAUGUAGCGAUGUAUUAAUGAGAAACAAAAACAUCACUAGCUACUGUUGGUUUUAAUGAAUUUUGAAUACGGUUUGAAGAAUAUAAAUGUUUAUAAAGAAUGGAUUGACAACAAAAAUUUAUUAACUUGAUAUUGGUGACGGACCAAGAUAGCAACCGUCCUCUCGAAUCCUGAUGAAUAUUUUCUACAAUUUCUCCAGGAGUAUUUUAUUACUGGCCAGAGAAGAAAAGAAAGAAAAAGACUCCACCAGGAUGAAAAUUUUUUAAUUUUUAUAUUACAAUCCUUUCGCUUCGUUUGGUUGAGAAUAUGUUUCCCAAAUUCAUUGAUCAACUUGCAAUUUGUAAAAUAUUUUAAGGCCAUCAUCAUGCAAUUCUAUCAACUCCAUUUUUCCUAUUGUUUCAUAAAGUAAAUUUUUGUAAAAUUUAUCAAGAGAAAUUGUGUCAGAAGAGUAAUUCAGUAAUUUGAACAGCAUUAGCAAUGCAUUUGCCUGACAUUUUUUAUCAACAGAUCAUAAAUAAUUAAAAUAAAAUCAAGAUAAUGAUCUAAAUUGUUCUUUAAUAACAUCUAUCUGUAAUCAAAUUUACAAGGUAAAAUUUGAUAAAUGGACUAAAAAUUAUUAAUUUCUCUAUUCAAACAAAACACAAUUAAAGGUUGUGAAAAAAGGACAAGAUGAAGACUUUUAUUGUUUCUUCCAAAUUGAUUAUUUUAUAUAGAAU